rnacentral:rRNA from 1 species
CCUACGGGCGGCAGCAGUCGAGAAUCAUUCACAAUGGCGGAAACCCUGAUGGUGCGACGCCGCGUGGGGGAAUGCAGCUCUUCGGAUUGUAAACCCCUGUCAUGUGGGAGCAAAUCGAAAAGCUAGUACCACAAGAGGAGUAGCCGGCUAACUCUGUGCCAGCAGCCGCGGUAAUACAGAGGUCUCAAGCGUUGUUCGGCAUGUCUUGUCCUAAAGCGUGCGUAGGCUGGUUCGUACGUCGUGUGGGAAAGGGGCGGGCUCCACCCGCGGACGGCAACUGAUACGGCGUGCCUAGAGUGAGGGAGGGGGAAGCGGAAUGCGCGGUGUAGCGGUGAAAUGCGUAGAUAUCGAGAGGAACACUGGUGGCGAAGGCGGCUUACUGGGCUGUAACUGACGCUGAGGCACGAAAGCGUGGGUAGCGAACAGGAUUAGAUACCCGAGUAGUC